CCCUGCCCCAUCUUCACCUACAGGAGAAGGCUGAGCAGGCAAGGAGACGUGGGCUCACCUUCUGGAUGAAGUGAGUAUCCCCUCAUUGCCCUGUGCCCAGCCGGCAGCAGCCGGGCUCCCGGCAGUGGGCUGAUGGCCUCGACCCCGCUGCAGCCGGCGGGGCUCCCGGGCGGCCCCUUUGGCGCUGUGUGGGGCUGUGCUGCCGUGGGGUCGGAACGCCUCAUUCCCAGCCCGGCCGUCUUUUGCCCCCCAGGACAAUCUGCCUCAUCUUCGUCAGCCUCCUGCUGCUGCUCGUUGCCGUGCUGGGCUCUGCAGUGCUGUACGCCCAGCACUAUGACCAGGAGCUGUUGUAUCGGCUCCUGCUGCGAGUGCUGCCCCAGGCAAUGUACGCUUCCCCGGCGUACUUUGCGAGCAGGAG
ensembl:lncRNA